GCAAAUCUCUCUCUCUCUCUCUCUCUCUCUCUCUCUUCAACAAAGCAAUUUCUAAUUCUUUAAUUCAUGAAUCCAUCAAAUGUGGUGGAUCAUCUCGUCUGGUUCUCACUGAGGUCGAUGGACCAUGGAAACCGUCCAAAAGGUUUUACUCGCGCAGGAGAUGAAACAAGUUGCCACCUCUAUGUGGCUAAUUGUGGGCCAACUGUGGGGAUAUCAUUUGAUGCCAUUAAAACUGCAUUCAAAACCUUUGGUCUUGUUACUGGAGUCCAACCUGCCGAUGCAAGCGGAACCCGUGUCAUCGUUUCUUAUUCCGAAGAAAAUGCUGCUCGAGAGGCCUUGAAAGCAUGGAAUGGGCGCUCCUGUCCCGAUUUCAGUGGUCGUGUUUUGCAUAUACGUUACUCUGUUCGACGGUCCCCUUGCAAGGUUAGUGAUUCAAUUCCAAUAUCUUUGGAGGCUUUUGAAUUGGGGGUUCCUGGACUUCGCUUAAUGCACGAUUUCAUCAGCGAUGAAGAAGAGCAGGAACUCCUUGCAGCAGUGGACAGUAGACCUUGGAAGAAGUUGGCAAAGCGAAGAGUUCAGCACUACGGUUAUGAGUUCAACUAUGAUACCAGGAAUGUAGAUGCGAAACAAUUUCUAGGCAAGCUUCCAACGUUUGUGUCUCGCAUACUUGAGAAGGUGGCAACAUUUCCUGAUCUCAGUGAGGAUGACAGGGUUAAUGUGGAUCAGCUAACGGUCAAUGAAUAUCCUCCAGGCGUUGGGUUAUCUCCACACGUUGACACACACUCAGCAUUUGAUGGACCGAUCUUCAGCCUGUCAUUAGCUGGUCCUUGCAUCAUGGAGUUGAGGAAAUAUUCUCAAGCUACAUGGGUACCUCCAAGGGAAGGAAGUAAGCAAAUGGAGAAAGAUGGAAUUGAUUGUACGUCGAAUUCUAUUAGGAGGGCAAUUUUCCUUCCUUCAAGGUCAAUGCUUCUGUUAUCAGGCGAGGCUCGGUAUGCUUGGCAUCACUACAUCCCCCAUCGAAAGAUGAGAGGAGACUUGGUGCUUGUGCUGGGAAAAGAGUUUCACUCUAUAGUGCUACUAUAGCAUACACAUAUUACAUAUUCAAAUGCAAGGACUAGGAGCAAAGUUUUGAAUGACUGUUGAAGAAGUGGUUGACAGGAAGAACUUGGUGUCCUCGACCUCAACCAAACAUAGUAAUGUAUCUCUCUACCAAAAGGAAAGUUUAUCAUUAAAUGUCGGAGCUUCAGUAAUAUAAAUUGUUGAACUUUGUCUAAAAUGAGGGAGAGUCAACUUUAAAUUUGUAGCUUAGCAUUUUUCAGCAGCUGACAGUUUCAGUGUGGAGAAAUAUGAAAUGAGUUCAUUUUACAAAGGGAAAGCAUAACUCCUUUGCAGGCAUAAAAUGCUUGAGGUAUUCGGAAAAAAGAUGCUCCUAUCCUUCUGGUAAAGUACAAUUGAAUCUGUCACUCUUGACCAUACCAUACCUGGUAGUGCCCCUAGAUCAAUUUCACAAAAUGUUUGCUGGUGUAGUCUCAAUCUCAUGUCUGAAGUCUCUUGAAAGCAGGUCAGAGACAAUAGGUUGAUAUUGUUGAUAGCAAUAAGAUUAAAAGAGGUUCGAGGAGGGUAUCUUUCACCUUUCGCAAG